rnacentral:rRNA from 1 species
UACGUAGGGGGCAAGCGUUGUCCGGAUUUAUUGGGCGUAAAGAGCGUGUAGGCGGCCAGUUAGGUCCGUUGUGAAAACUCGAGGCUCAACCUCGAGACGCCGAUGGAAACCAACUGGCUAGAGGACGGUAGAGGCGAGUGGAAUUCCCGGUGUAGCGGUGAAAUGCGCAGAUAUCGGGAGGAACACCAGUAGCGAAGGCGGCUCGCUGGGCCGUUCCUGACGCUGAGACGCGAAAGCUAGGGGAGCGAACAGG